CAGAGUACCACAGUCUGACAGGCCCUGGAAGGAAAGCUGGAGGCUCUAAGAUCCCUAUUCCUCUACUUCACCCAUAUAAGUGUCAUGUUGCCUGAUUGUCUUUGGAAUUCUGCAUGUCUGUGUGGAUUCACGUUAUUCAGGCUAUUAAGUUUGAUUUUGACCUGCAUAUCCACCAAAUAUCAAUUUGAAUCUGAUCCAGCCAAAUGGACCUUGAAGAGCACAGGAAAUACUUCCUCCCCAACACCAGACACAGGUGACGUUUCAUCAAGGGUCCGACAAGAGUAGGAAAGCUCAACGUGGUGCCCAUUGGAACCCCUUGAGGGGCCUGUUCCUAUGAACUCAGAACCAUCCUGCUGACAAAAUUAGCAAACACAUCCAGAGCUUCCAGGACAGAGGGAUUUGGGGUCAGACCACUCUCUGGGGUGAGCACAGCUCUAGUCCCUGCAACUGUGUCCAGCAUGUUCAGGAUGGAACCUUUAUUCAUUCAGCCACCCAUGACUACGGGAAUGGAUAUCUACCACCCAAGGGCAAGUGGACCCAGAAGCUUCUGUCAAAGGUCCCAGAUGUGAGUGUUGGCAAGGUGGAGAUAAGGGGGAAGGUGUGUCUGAGGUCACAGGCCCUGUGGCCCUGGGUUGGGACAGAAGACUUUCCAUCGGAGUGCAGCCUGGCUGGAGGUGUCACUGGGGUGACUGAGGGAGUGACAGCGCAGGGCGGAGAGCACAGGGAGGGUGUGUCUCAUGUCCCCCAUAGACCUUGAGCUCUAAGGGAGCAGCACUGAGGCUGGGGUCCCAGAAUCAAGGUAUCGAUCAGCCUCAGGCCCUGACUGGAACCCAGAGGUGAUGGGGGGGGGGAGCUGCCCAUGGGGACAGAGACUCCCCCUGGGAUUCCUAAGCAUCAGCCUCAACCCAGGACAAAAAUAAAGCUAUGUGACCCCUGUCCCUCACCCCUGAGGGAUGUUUCGCCAUGGUGAUUCUCUUUAUAAACCCCAGGGUCCUGAUCCUGCAUUUAGAGGUAAGGAUCUCAAAGAUUUUUACUGGAAAAGGAUUUAUUUUCGCCAGGAAGACUCAUGUGAGAGCAAAACUAUUAACAAUUUACUGAAUCAGAAGUCCAGGUCCUGAUGAGUAACAAGAAAUCUGUCGUGGUACCUGGGUGGCUCAGUCAUUAAGCAUCUGCCUUCAGCUCUCGUCAUGGUCCCAGGGUCCUGGGAUUGAGCCCCACAUGGGGCUCCCUGCUCCUCGGAAAGACUGCUUCUCCCUCUCCCACACCCCCUGCUUGUGUCCCCUCUCUCGCUGUGUCUUUCUCUGCCAAAUAAAUAAAAU